GACGAACGCUGGCGGCGGGCUUAACACAUGCAAGUCGAACGGAAAGGCCCUGCUUUGGUGGGGUGGUCGAGGGGCGAACGGGUGAGUAACACGUGAGUAACCUGCCCUUGACUGUGGGAUAACUUCAGGAAACUGGGGCUAAUACCGGGUAGGAGCUCCUGCUGCAUGGUGGGGGUUGGACAGUUUCGGCGGUUGGGGGUGGACUCGCGGCUUAUCAGCUUGUUGGUGGGGUAGUGGCGUACCAAGGCUUUGACGGGUAGCCGGCCUGAUAGGGUGACCGGCCACAUUGCGUCUGGGCUACGGCCCAGACUCCUCCGCGACGCGGCGCUGCGGUAUGUUGCCCAGUGGGCUGAGGCCUGAUGCAGCACCGCCGCGUGCGGGGUGUCGGCCUUCGGUUUGUAUUCCGCUUUCGUCUGUCCCGAAGCGUGAGUGACGGUAAUGGGUAAAGAAGCCCCGGCUAACUACGUG
rnacentral:rRNA from 1 species